CGCUGGCGGCGCGUUUAAGCAUGCAAGUCGAGCGGCAAGGGCCUUCGGGCCCCUAGAGCGGCGGACGGGUGAGUAACACGUGGACAAUCUGCCCCCCGGCCCGGGAUAGCCCAGGGAAACCUGGAUUAAUACCGGAUGAGACGGGACCCGCGAUGGCGGGACCCGGGAAGGCGCUGCGGCGCCGCCGGGGGAUGAGUCUGCGUCCCAUUAGCUAGACGGCGGGGUAACGGCCCACCGUGGCGACGAUGGGUAGCCGGCCUGAGAGGGUGGACGGCCACAUUGGAACUGAGACACGGUCCAGACUCCUACGGGAGGCAGCAGCUAAGAAUCUUCCGCAAUGGGCGAAAGCCUGACGGAGCGACGCCCGCGUGAACGAAGAAGGCCGUGAGGUUGUAAAGUUCUUUUCGGGAGGGGGAACAACCGUGGCAGGGAAUGGCCGCGGGAUGACGUGAAUCCCGGAAUAAGCCCCGGCUAACUACGUGCCAGCCGCUGC
rnacentral:rRNA from 1 species